UACGUAGGGUGCAAGCGUUAAUCGGAAUUACUGGGCGUAAAGCGUGCGCAGGCGGUUGUGGAAGACAGAUGGGAAAUCCCCGGGCUCAACCUGGGAAUUGCAUUUGUGACUGCACGGCUAGAGUGUGUCAGAGGGGGGUAGAAUUCCACGUGUAGCAGUGAAAUGCGUAGAGAUGUGGAGGAAUACCGAUGGCGAGGGCAGCCCCCUGGGAUAACACUGACGCUCAUGCACGAAAGCGUGGGGAGCAAACAGG
rnacentral:rRNA from 1 species